GAAAUGCGAUAAGUAAUGUGAAUUGCAGAAUUCAGUGAAUCAUCGAAUCUUUGAACGCACAUUGCGUCCGCCAGAAUUCUGGCGGGCAUGCCUGUUCGAGCGUCAUUUCAACCCUCGAGCUCCCCUUUCGGGGGGAGCCCGGCGUUGGGGACCCGGCGCUAACAACGCCGGCCCCGAAAUGGAGUGGCGGCCCGUCCGCGGCGACCUCUGCGUAGUAACAACCACUCGCACCGGGACCCGGGCGCGGCCACGCCGUAAAACACCCCACCUUCCGAAUGUUGACCUCGAAUCAGGUAGGAAUACCCGCUGAACUUAAGC
rnacentral:misc_RNA from 1 species